rnacentral:tRNA from 1 species
GCGGUGGUGUAAGGUGAACAUCGCUGCCCGGAAAGCAGAAGUUGCGGGUUCGCGUCCCGCCUGGCGCA